GCGUCCGGAACAGCUGAUCAGAGUUAGUUUAAUCAACUCUGAGUAUGCCCACCCUGAGGUAAGCGCGUGCGUGAUACCAAUAAUAAAAAAAAAUCCAUCAUCAACAGAUCCUAUGAUUCAACAUGGAAACCGGGCAGAGAAAACGCUCGGCUUACUUCACCCCACUUGAAAUAGAUAUUCUGCUGGGUGUAUAUGGCGAGUACGAACACAUUUUUAGGAAGAAAGGCAACACGGCUGCAGCAGCAAAGGAGAGAGAACUGGCGUGGGAGAGAAUUGCAGCGCGGGUAAAUGCGUGCAAUCCCACGGGAACAAAAAGGACUUGGCAGCAGCUGAAAAUGAAAUAUAAAAACAUAGUUCAAACAGCUAACAGAAAGAAGGCAGAGGCUCGCAAAGUGGUUGAAGGGGCACCUUCAUCCAUGCUGAGGCAGAAGAGCUUGCCAAGAUUGCUGAUGGCCUUGUUGAGACUCCUACUUCAGCAGAAGCAUUUCCAACCCUUCCAUCUAGCAAGGCCGAACAUUAUCAAGAGGAAGCUCCAUCAACUACCCCAGCACAUAUUAACAAAUUACCAGUUAAAGAAAUAUACAAAAUGCACCUCAUCCAAACAAUGACAAAAACUGACAAAGAAAUCACAUACUUGGAUCGUCAGAUUAGAAAGACAGAUCUGGAAAUUGAAUUACUGGAGCACCAGUUAGAGCUCUUGCAUCAUGAACAUCUUCAGGGUGAACAGGAUCCUCUUCCCCAGGUUCAUCCACUCAUAUGGCAGGGUGCUGCUAAGAGAGGCAAUAUUAUGGAGAACAACACAUGCCACAAUGAUGCCACAUGCUCUCUCUGAUGAUACCUUGAGUCUAUGCAGGCACUGGAACCAGGAUUUGAAUCAUGUCCACCCAGAGAAGGGGAAGUUUAAUUACAGCAACAACAAUUCCAAGUAUAAUCAUGAAGUAUAACUGAAGGAUUUGUACAUCAAUCGCCUGCUGUGCUACAGAAUUCCUCUUUAAUACUCCUUCUUAGUUUAUGAGAUUUCUUAUUUGGAAUAGUACAAAAUUUUGUAGCUGAUGUUUAAGAGAAAAAUAAAUCUUUCUAACUGGUGCACAGACAGUCAUGUGUCAUACAGGAAACCCCUGAUGGUAACAAAGCGAAUUGCCACACAAAGAGAUUGGUCUGAUGUGAAAAGCACAACCUCGCUGUGUUAUAUUUGAUUUGUAUAAGGUUGGAGUGUGUUGUUGGUAAUGGUGACAUUCAACAAGAUGCUCAUCUGGGAAUGAAAAAAAAUUCUAAUCAGGGUGUCAUGCACAGAGAUCUGAAAGAUCUUCCAGGGAUAGUGAUACUAUAUUCUGUAGAACUGAUGGGUCAGUAGGCAGCA